AGAGUAGAGAGAGAGAGCAUAGCAGGAGAGGCGAGUUCGCGAGCCGUAUCGAUUUUACGAUCGUGUCGCUCGCUCUCUGUGAAACGGUGCGGUGGUGGUGUGUGCGUCCGUUUCCUUUAGUUUUUAGUGGCCGUCGCGGUGCUUCGUUCGUCUUGCAGAAGCGACAAGCCCGACGUCGUCGUCGUCGUCGUCGUCGUCGUCGUCGUCGUCGUCGUCGUGUGUUCCUCUCUUUCUCCCUCUCUCUCUCUCUGUCUCGCGCGCGAGAAAAAACGGAGAAAGAGCCGCCGAGAAGCAGCGAAGCAAAGUGUGUGCAUAGUGUGCAUGCAGGAGUAGAGCUGGCGCACGGUGAAUGGGAUUAGCCGUCGAGUGCACCGCUGCUGCUCCUCCCCCGUCGUCGUCGUCGUCGUCGACGAGCACCUACGCUGCUGCUGCCGCUGCUGACUGAGCAGAGAGCGAGAGCACCAGGAGAUAGCUGCGCGCGAGAACACAGCACAGCGAGCCAGAGAGAGAGAGAGAGAGAGGCGUCGACAGUGCGUAGAGCAGAAGAGCUAACCCAGCCGCCAAGGGUCUACCUCGUCGACACUCGCCAUGACCAAGGACAGAUUAGCGGCCCUCGUCGCGGCCCAGUCAGACGAUGACGACGUGGCGGACGAGGUGUCCGUCAAUAUGGGCGGGGCGGACGAUUUCAUGACAGAGUUCUUCGCGGAGGUGGAGGAGAUACGAGAGAUGAUAGACAAGAUCCAGACGAACGUCGAGGAGGUGAAGAAAAAGCACAGCGCCAUCCUGUCCGCGCCCCAGACCGAUGAGAAAGUCAAAAUGGAGCUGGAGGACUUGAUGGCCGACAUCAAGAGAACUGCUAAUAAAGUCAGAGCCAAGUUAAAGUUGAUAGAGCAAAAUAUCGAGGCGGAGGAGCAAACGGGCAAAUCGUCGGCGGACUUGAGGAUACGCAAAACUCAGCACUCGACGUUAUCCAGAAAAUUCGUCGAGGUAAUGACGGAGUACAAUCGGACACAAACCGAUUACAGGGAACGAUGUAAGGGCAGGAUACAACGACAGCUGGAAAUCACGGGUAGAACGACAACCAACGAGGAGCUCGAGGAGAUGCUUGAACAGGGCAAUCCGGCGGUCUUCACGCAGGGAAUUAUUAUGGAAACGCAACAAGCCAAACAAACUCUAGCGGAUAUCGAAGCGCGCCACGCUGACAUCAUAAAAUUAGAAAACUCUAUUAGGGAACUCCAUGACAUGUUUAUGGACAUGGCCAUGCUGGUAGAAAGUCAGGGCGAGAUGAUAGAUCGCAUAGAGUAUCACGUGGAGCACGCGGUCGACUACGUGCAGACAGCCACGCAGGACACCAAAAAAGCACUCAAGUAUCAAAGCAAAGCCCGACGGAAAAUGAUCUUAAUAAUGAUCUGCCUCGCAAUAUUGCUCGUCGUAAUAAUCUGCAUUCUGGCAUCGUUCCUUCCGAACGGACGUGAAGAUUAGACAAAUUAAGAGAGAGAGAGAGAGAGAGAGAGAGAGAGAGAGAGAGAGAGAGAGAGAAUGAGAGGGAGAGAGACGUAGACAAUGUUGUUAUAAGCAAGCAAGCAAGCAAAAAAAACAAACAAGUGUUCGGAGGGGGGGAUAGUAGGGGGUGAGAGAAAAAGAACGUGACGCACGAUAACCAACAGUUAAAUGAGAACCACGACUGUACAGAAUUAUCACUUGUAUUAUACAUUACAUAGAAGUAACGAUGCACACGAAAAGCUCUCCGGAGAUGUAUACAUAUAAUUAUAUGAAUUUAACGUGAGCGACUGCACCGCAGUGUGAACGACGACUACGACGCGAAAUUCAUCGUUUUUAUUCGUCUUUGCGAUCGGGAGAGCUGUUAGAGAGAUUUAUUAAUUGCCACGUGAAACCCCAGAAAAAAAAAUGAAAAUAUCGGAAGACCAAAAGUUGUCCUGCUGUACGCGUAUAUUAUGUGCGAGAACGACUCGAGACUGUAGAGUAAAAAAAAAUAACGUUGUUUGAGAAGACGGACUGCCACUUUGACAGAAUGCCAUCGUCGUCGUGAUGCUAAGGCUUAGCAAAAAAAGCAAAAAAUAACCGUUGCCUAUACUCUUACUCGACGAAUGGACAAUAAAGUAACAAAAUGUGAAACGAGGGCUGAAAUCGUUCAGAAGUUUGUUUGUCAUCAGGAGAGAGACUGUGUGCGUAUAAAGUGUGCGAGGAGACUCGACGAUGAUGAGGUCGUCCACGCGAAUGAAAAGUUUUUAAGCUCAUAGUAGGACACGCGCCGUAAUUCUCCGCAUUGUAAAUUUCUGUAUAGGUCUAGUAAGGUACUUUAACAAAGAAACCAAAAUCGGGUAUAUAAUUAUAGAAUUUACCAUCUCGUUGUGUAUACAAUAUCGAGAGACUGUAGUGACGAGGAAAAGAGAGAGAGAGAGAGACAGAAAGAGAUGACCUAACGCCCAAUACGAUGAUUCACAAUUCUUUCCGUUUGCUCAUUACCUUUUAUUGCCAGAGACUCGUAUAGAUAAUACGCGAAUUACGAGAUCCCGGACGAGACACGUCGCGCAUAUUAACGUAUAUUACACACAGAGUCACGCACACGUAGUACGACCUCUUCUGCGAAAUUUCCGAUGAAGUGCGGCAGUCGUUUGUGAUGAUCGUUUAAUUAGCCAGCCUGAAUUGUAUCGGAAUGUGCCUUUGAAAACGAGAGUCUCGUAUGUGACACGGCUUUUCGCGCUCCUAUGUGGUUCGCUGCUGCUGCUGCAGUAUAUAGUUGCGACUUUUAUGCGCUACGUGGCUUGCUUAAUACAUGCGCUGAUGAUUCCUCUCGAGUAAUAGCAGUAUGAAACACAGACACAUGCUUUUAUCAUUUUUUAACACAAUGAAUUUGUUACUCGCACCGGAACGUCGUCGCUUAUUACUCGAAUUAAUCAUGAUAUACUGCAUUUUAGUAAGGGGGAUCGCGAGAGGGCUUCGAAUUUGAAUCGACGACGGAUAUGCUCUAUAGGGGAUGAAGUUUGUAAAUAUCUAGCUUUUAGAAUGUCAAAUCAAGUCUUGAUGUUUCGAUUUCAUGUUAUACAAGAAUUUUUCUCGCAGAAUAUAUAUGUUCAGAAUAUAUAUGAGUAUAAUUAAUUUAGUAAGAGCGAUGACAUACAUCAUGCCGUGAUCGACGCUUGAAAGAUUUUAAUCGUGCAUCUGUCUGUAUUGUCCUUUUUGAAGAAAAACUCGACCCGCGCAUUGUAUUAUCGUAGACGCAACAGAUUGUCGAACCAACAUCCUCGUAUGUAUAACACUGCAGCGUGCCGUUUUUUCGUAACAUCCUGCACUUUGAGCUGUAUAUGACUAACAUUUUCUAUAUAUAAUAUUAUAACUUAACUCUCUCUCAACCUUGUAUAACCAACGCUUCAACUUGUACUAACAAUUUUUAUAUAGACUUACAAAAACGCUAAAUAGUCAAUGCCUCGAAAAACGCAGUUUAUAUGACAUUUUUUCCUAAUUUCCGUACACACACACAGUGCCAAAAUGUGAUAAUUGAAAAGCAAAACAGCUAAGCAUGUAGUUCAAUAUGAUGGAAAAAUUGCGUUUUUCGUGGCUCUUGCUAAACUGAUCUUAAUGUCGAUAAGCGCGUUUGAUGUUGACGUUAUUUUGUUCACAGAAAUUGAUCUUCAUCGUAAUCUGCCUUACAGUGGCGCUCAUCAUUUUAAUUAUUAUUUUGGUGCAAACCCUGACCUGAACCCGAAAGUCUACCUGGCUUAACGAUCACAUCACUCAAAUAACGAGGCAUUUCUUUGCAAGCACCACUAUAAGAUUGAAUGCAUUUUGUUAUUGCUACACACGAAUUAUUAUGAUUUUUAUUUGCUCAAGCAUAACAUCGAAAACAAAAACUUUAUGAACAAGCGAUGCGUCCUGUGUAAUUACCGUCAGUUAUUAUUGUAUAAUUUUUCAACAAUAUUGAGGAAAAAACGAUGUCAAUGUCUAACUUCAUGUCGUCUAAAGAAUCUCUUAUUCCAAGCAGUCAUUUUCUUCGUAAACUAUUGUAAUAUUAACGUUUAAGUUGUGAUGUCAAUGUAUAGAUCAAAGUUAAAUUAUUGUUUUAUAAAAGUUAUUAUAUAUAUACACACAUAUGCCUCGAGUUUGCAUUAUACAUACCUCUCCCUAUUCUCGUUGGAAUAAGGGAAGUCUUAAAAUGGCAUUUAGAUUCCACGCAACGGAGGUCGAUGUAAUUUAUUCCUAUGAACGCGUAAUCGAAACGCCAAUUGCCAGCUCGCACAGCCUCGCAACUGGCGCUUCGACGCAAUUUCAAGCAAACAUAAUAAAUAUAUAAUAUAUAAUAUAAAAAGACACUCGAGCGCGUCGACACUGCCUUUCGUUCAUUUUGUCUGCUCUCGACAUAUUAUAUGUAUGAUACAAAUAACAAAGAAAUUUACAAGUAAAGUCAUUGAUAACGAGAGGAAAGCGCGACACUCGCGCAGGUGUCUUCUGAUAUCACAUUCUAAAGAACACCCCUGCAACUGACGCGUCUUUCCCGCAUUGCUUAUUCGAUUGGCUUUUGAAAAUACAAUUAUAUCACACGCGCAAUUACUUAAAGGAAUAUAAACUAGAUAUAAAAGUUUAAAAAAUGCAAAUGCGAGUACAGACAAAGCCUUUGAAUUCCAGCGAGUGUGUACCGCACGUCAGGUUCUUUUUCUUCUUUCGCGUCUCGUCUCGGAGCGGAGACACAUAGAGUAAACGAGAGGAAGGAUUAGAAUGCGAGAGAAAGGGAAGCGUCAUUGCGAAUUCUUCAUUUCUUGUAAAUAUUUCAAUUUGUAUAGAAUUUUAGAGAGUGAUUAUGCGUCGCAAGAGAGGCGAAAUGAAAAAGCAAAGUAAUAUAUCGAACAUUAUUAGAACAAAAAAUUUGAGCAUAUGCACACACGCGAAUCAUCUUGAAUAGAUUAACUGCAAAAAAAAAUAAUAAUUGAGAAAAGGCGCUGCGCGCUCAGAUCGAGCGCGUUAGAUUCGGAAUUGAUACACAAUUUUUCAAGGACCUGCAUUUCAUCUCCGCUAAAGUAAUUGAAAAAAAAAAUCUUAACUUGAACAUAAAUACAAAAAUCGUACUUGUAAGAUAGGAGAGUAAGAAGCUUUCUUGCGCGAUAAGUAUAUAAAUAUUAUAUAUAUGAUAAGCUAGAGAGAGAUGAGAGGAAAAGGAAGCAAGUGAAACAAAAAUUAUAUCUCACACGGCAAUACUCCAAGCGACAAAAUGGGGACACUAUAUAAAAAGGGUGGUCGGAGAAAGUGGGUGAAAUGUAACAAUAACAAUAAACGUCGAGGCAGUAUAGCGUGUCCCGUAAUAGCGUAAUAAUAAUUGCGAGAGAAAGAGAGGUCGAGAGCUGCUGCUGCUGCACAGAGGCGAUUUCGAAGCGGCGUCGAUAACGAAUACGAAGUGUCAAGAGAAAGAGAGAGAGAACGACUCGAAAGAAGAGUGUUUUUACCGAACAAUGUGUGUCGCGCGAGCAUCGCAACAUCUUAUACUAUCUCUGUAUCUCAUCCACCGGCUGCACCUCGUCAUUAGCGUCAUGUUAGCCUCAUCCUCUCAGAGUGUCAUCUCUCCGUUGGAUACGUCGUCUGCAAAAAGAAGAUCAUGAUCAUGAUCUGCCUGGCCAUCCUCGCCGUGAUCGUGGCCACCACCAUCGGCGGAUACUUCGGCCUGUGAAUUCCUCUAUUCAGGAGAAGCCGAAGGCGUCGAGUGCGUGCGCGGUUCUUGGCGAGCGCAAGAAUCCUGUACGUCGAGAUCGACGCCAGCGCGGCUCUAACGUACAAGCUGACGCAUAUCGCCCUGGCCCUGAAAGAGAGAAAGAUAAUGUACACGCAAGAAUCGAAAGAGAGAAAGAGAGAGAGAGAGAGAGAAUCAGCUGGAGAAGAGGACUACUCGUUAUAUAGCCGCGUGCGCGUGAAAGAGAGCCGAGAUAUUAAAAGCGAGUUAUUACUUACAUAAUAAUAAUAAUAAAAACGGCGGGCACUCGGAGUGCGCAUAUAACAUUACAUAGGUACUUGCGACGAAAUCGAAUGCGGAUAUAUCUAUAUAUAUAUACCGGUAGAUUAAACUUUAAUGCGAGAAAGAAUAAGCGUUCAGAAAAGAGACAAUGAGAGAAAGCCAUUAAUUACAUGCAUUAUAUAUAUAUAAUAUACACACACGGACACGUGUAAACACACACACACACACACACACACACACACACACACACACACGUAUACACACGUAUAGAGAGAGACUAUAUAAUAAUGUAAUACAAAGAAUAAACGCGUGUGCGAGCGCGCCGCUGAAGAAAAAUCGUCAAAUCGUUCACUAUAUGAUAAUUAUACUCUCGCCCUCCUCGGACACACUACUUUAACUAUUACUAAUAUACUAUUACUGCUACUUAUACUAACCAAUACUCUACCCAUACAACAGCAGCAAAACAAUAGAGCAAGAACAUUGUAAAACGAGAGAAUGAUGAUGGUGAUGAUGAUGAUAAUGAUAAUGAUAAUGGUGUAGGGAACCUGCGAGUCGCGUCCAGAUUGCCGGCGUUCUGGAGAUCACCCGUGAGAGUCGUUUAUAUUACUGUGUGUAUAACUUCCACUCGCGGGUUUCCUAUUUCCGAAAUUACACACACAGACACACACGCGCGUUCAUAUACUUACCUCUCCGCCCUCAGGCCACGCGAUCACACACUGCUGAAGGAGAUUAAUGUUACGACGAGAUGAUGAGAUUAUGAUAAAUCGAGAGAGUAUCUAAUUAUUAAUUACACAUUGUAUCGGAGCACAAUUGACUGUGUAAUCUAGCGAGUUUGGCCUAAACAAACAUACUUAUAUUAAUACAACAACAAACAGCAACAUCAACAACAAGAACAACAAAAGUAAAGUAACGUUCAUCGAGGUUGAAAUUGCUUUCGAAGCCACGCAGCACCCGCCCCUUAAUCACAGAACGUACUAUCUAUAUGUAUGUGUAUAUCUUAGACCAGUUUUUAUUUUAUUUUUUUUUUGUAUUUCCGUUCGUUCUUCGAGCUUCGGGUAAUCAUCGAUAUCAGUCUCACCGAUGUCUUAUGAUAUUUAACACAUUAUUAUGUCCACGCGCAUAAACUGAUUUUCCCAUUUGCGAUCGAACGAGUGUAAAACGAUGACAUACACUUUAGCGAAAGACAGAAGAUAAAGUAACUAAUAAAUAUUAAAAAAAAAACUACACACAAAACACGCCUCGUUAUCUCUCUCUCUUCUCUGCCGAUAUGAUGGGAAGACACGUUCGUGAAGCCCUUUGACGUUUCUCGUCUUCCUGAAUUUUGUCGCUCUUUUUGAAAUAUCUUUUUGGAAAUAUAAUUGUCAUUACUUAAGCGUUAUUGAGUACGCGAGUGAGUUUGGCAUCGCAUAAGGAAGCAAACGAACCGCAGUACUAGAAAGUGCAUUUCGUUUACGUUCACGAUUAAACGGACUCUCUCUCAGGCAGAUUAUUAUGAAAAAAAUCACAUUAUACAUAUAGGGUAUACAUAUAUAAAUGAAGGAGAAAAUAGCUCGGAGAGAGGUGAUGUUUUACCGCGCGCUCGUGUUGAUAUACGCGUAUAUUAUAUUAUGCAAUUGUUGAACGACGCUGGAACGGCGGAUGGGGAAAAGAAUUAACAAAAAAAAUCAUAUUCUCUAAUGCCAAAGAGGCUAGUGUGCGUAGCGUUCAACCUCGGCACUAAACUUUCACACCGUAUAAAACAACAAGAAAAAAAAAAUUGCCUCACAGUGUGCGCACGACCGAGUACGUAAAUAUAAUUAUACAUAUUAUAUAUAUUGUUAUCGAUAUACCGGAUAGCAUUGCUGAAACGCUGAACUCAUCUGCAUUUUUGUAGUUGUAAAAACAAAGAAAAAGAACAAAAACAGAAAAAAUGUUACGAUUAAUACCAGUCGAAAGUGACUUCGAUUAGCGGCUACUAUUAUAAUAUAUCAUUGUGUUUAUUAGACAGAUCAUGUGUUCAUGCAUGUAAGGAGAGGAAUGAGGAGAAAAAAAACAAUUUUAUUCAAUCGUGCUAGCGAAACUUUGUAGACGAUAUUCAACCAUGACGAGGUGAUAAUUUUUCUUCGAUUCAAAUCUUAAUGUGCCCUAAUUUUCGUUGUUUAAAGUAUGGAAAAUCUAAGAAAAAUUAAAUAUUUUUGUAACUUCUUGUCAAACUAAUCGUGUUCACGGCUGUAAUUAAACAAAAAAAAAGUCCUACUAUAGUAAACGGCUUUUGCUGUAGAAUACUUAAAGAAAAAAAUAACAAAAAAAAAGAAUUGAGUGUACAGUGGCGACGCUUGAUACAAAAAAAAAUGACGAAAAAUUCGAUAAAAACUAUUGCUUAUACAUUGGGACGUCAAAAAUGUACAUGGGUCGGUGUCACAUCGGUGCAAUUAUUAAUAAGAAAGGCUACUUUAAUAACCUUAUGAGUGUCAAUUCCACUUUCAGCUAAAUUAUAAUUUUGAAAAGUGUUUAGAAACGAAAGAUAAACAAAAGAAGCAACAAAUAAUGGUGCGCAGUCGAAGAAAUAAAGGAGAAAAAAACUUUAAAUAUAAUAAUUAAAUUAAAUGAAGAAAAAAAAGUAAAAAAAAGACAGUUCACAUAAGUGAAUUUCAUGCGACAAAGUGAGAUUAUACUUAAUGAGCUAAUAUAUAAUUGAGAAGAAAGUGGGGAAGAGUAAUACUUAAAAGUGCGUGCAAUAAGAAUACUACGGUUAUUAUAGCGCAGAAGAGUGAAAGAAGAGAAGAGAAUAAAAAUUUGAGAGAAAGAGAAAAACACUUACGAAUACUUUUUAUUGUAGGUAUUUCAUAGAGAAAAAAAAACAAAGUUCAUAAGAGAUUAAGAAUUCUGUAUUUAAUGAUGACUUAUCUAAAUAAAUCAACGGUGUUUUCUGCCUAUAAAUAUUAAUAUAUCGUACUCUCGUCGGGCAACUAAUGUACAUUUUCUCUCGAGUAAAGGAAAAAAAAAGAUAAUGAAACGUUCUCCUUCAGUUUUAACGACGUAUUAAUUAUUAAUCUUUGAAGAAAAAAAAUAAAAAAAGACAUCAAACUAUACAUAUAAACAUAUGAAGUGUACAAAAUUGGCAAUAAUUUUAAGACCUUCCUCGAUCGUCAGCGGCUCGGCGAAUUCGGGCCUGUUGGCGCCAAUGAAGACGCCAACAAAGUCCAAAAUAAAAUUAAAAAAAAAACACUAGAGACUCAUGCGAGUUUAUAGAGAAAGACACAUACCGAUAAAUCAGGCGAGACGCUGGUGAUCGCGGCAAGUAUAGACAUUGUGAUCAAGUGAAUGUGCCCUUUCGUCGCGUAUAUAUGAUAAAAAAUACAAGUAAAUCACAGCACAAAAGAGAUAUCCUCCAUCGUAUAUAGUAGAACAAAGAGAAAAACAGAACAAACAGACAACAACACCCCCUCGGCUAAUGGCAUUUUAAAGAGAAAACAAAGUGAGAAAAAUAAAUAAAAUAGCUGCAUAUCGAUUAAGAGAGAGAUACAAACUGUCGCGACGCAGAUGAUCGGCUCCUCGGGUAUAUCAAUUUUCUAUACACGACAUCUAAUUCAGAGCUACACCGAUUAUUACGAUGUUGUAAACUUUUUUAAACGCGUCUCCCUUUGUUUCUCGUUAUUUUUUUCCAAACCGUAAAACUCUCAUUUUUGGGGAUGCGGGCCGGAGAUCAUUUCACUGUCUAUGCAGUAUUAUAAUUUACAUUAAACUUGUGUGAAAAAUUACUUUCCAUUAAUUUACGAUUUCCACGUAGCUGAUCCUUAUUAUAUUUGAGUGAGAGUCUGUACAUAGUAUAUAGUGAGAUUCAAAGUUGAUUUUCGAAGCGUCGCGCGAAAAUGAGGAGCUUUUUUCGUACAAUUUUCACGAAAAAGCUCGUGUUAUCCGAGAAAAAAGAGCGAAAUGACUACUUUGAAUCGCGCCUUAUCUGCGCAGAUGAACGUAUUGUGAAAUAAGAAACUAAAUUAUAAAAAAAUCAUGAAAUAUUGAGGAACUUAGUUGAGAAAAACUUAGACCGUUUAAAUUUUAUCGUUGAAUUAUAUGCGACAGACGUCAGAGAUCCGUCGAGUCGUGCAAACAUUUUUAUAAACAUGUAAGAAUACGUUGGACGAUUUUAAAAUGCCAUUAAGUUUAUGCAAAUAUAUAAGGAAAUGGAUCGUCGUUAUGAAAAUUGAUUUAAGAAAAGUUCACCGAAAUUCGAAUUUUUACACUGUAAUGCCGUUUGGUUCCGUCUUGAGUUUUACUACGAAUAUAGAGAAAAGAAAGCAAAGAAGUUAUAAAAGUUAUAUUACAGAGUCGCUUUUGAAUUGCUAUAAGUGUUACAAAGUUGUAUUAUAUUUAUCAAAGCUAACAGUUUUUAAUAAAUAUCUUAGAAAAAAAAAAUUAUUUAACUUGUUAGAGAAUUAAGUAUUUUGCGAUAUAAUUAUCAAGAUUUCACCAUGAAGUUUUGUACCGUGUUGAAAAAAAAACGUGAAAAAAAAACUAAACAAGAAGGAAACACUUUCUCCGUUAUGAUAUAUAACACAGACACACACAGACACGACACACGAACCAACACAAACAUAAUAUAUAAGACAAAGAAGUCAGACAAAUGCCCGCUGGAGCAAUAUUACUCAUUGAAGAGCGUAAAUAGAAUUUAAAUAGGUAUCUUCUAUUAUUGCAAGUGCACCCAAGAUAUCAAAGACAUCUUCACUGUUGGGACUGUCGAGUGGCUUCCGUAUAAAAUAAAAAGUAAUUGAGAAUCAUGAUAUCGCUCUUGAACUCAAUUAAUCACCCCCACACAUAUAACGACACUAUGUAAUAUGUAUAGCUUUUCUCAAAAGGUAAAUCAGAUCUCGGUGUAUAUUGUAUUAUAGAAAUCAGCUCUUCGUUAUGUGCGCCCUCCUUCGUCCUUGCGUUGAUGAAACUGUUUUUUCGUGAUAUGUGACGCGAUACCCUAUUUUUCCAACGUAGACCUUAUAUAGUACAUGCGAAACUUGGGUCCUGUUUUCUCUCGAGACGAAGAAUUAUAUUAUAUAGCCUUUGCACUUGGAGGAGAAAUCAAAGAGCGAUUCAUUAUGCAAUAUAUAAGUAUAUGCGGUAUAAUACGACACAUUGAUACCAUGAAUGAAUAUAUAAAAAUGACAAAGUAUAACGAAACACAAAAACACCUCUCUAAUACUUCACCGCCGCGUGUAAUUGUUGAUCGAUAAUCAUCGCUUGUAUCAUUAUCUAAUUAGGUGUCGAAUCGACGUUUCUCCGAUUUCGCUUGUAAAUACAAGACGCCUUCGAUCAUCAUAUACGCACUGAACAAGAAAAAAAAUGAAAACUUAGCGCCACGUAGACAAUAAAGAAAUAUAAGGUCAGACAAAAUUUUCACGAUUUGAUUUAGUGAUCGUCCUGAGUUGAUGUCGCAAACAGAGCAAGUUUUAGCCGUUAUAUAGAAACCAUAUUAUAUAGACGUUUUCGCAGAGGAUUUUGUCCACAAGAAGCCCGUCGCAGUCCCGGGGUGAAGUUCGUUGCGUUACCAAUAAUCUAAAAGUACUCGAUUCAUUUUAAAGAUACUGCUGUAAAAUGUAAAUUUCGAGAUUGGAAGUAAACUUAAAAAACAACUUCCA